ACCGUGACUUUGUUCCCAGCGUGGGGACUGCGGGAGAGAUGGAGAGAGACUGGUACAGAAAUGGUGAGACAAGGAGAGAGCCAUAAAGAGGAAGACAGAGAGAAAGAAGACAAAUGCAUAAAGAGGUUCAGAGACGUCUCCUUAUCAGUGUAAUUGUGGGGACUGGUCACCAGCUCUUGCUUGAGCUUUUCCAGAAGAAACUUCACUACUGAAAUAUUCCAGGAGGACUUGAUGCUGCCACAAAGAGAAGAGAAUGAAUAAAGUUGUCGGCUUUGUAAGAGCCAGACAAACAGAGAUACCCAGCACUAAUCAACUUUGUGGCAAAUCCCUCCAUGGCCUAAGAAGGAUCCCUAGCAGCAAUCCUCAAGAGCCUCAGCAGAUUGGAGAGAUGCCUCUUUGAUUCUGUCCCAGAGCUAAAGUUUGGAACAACUGUCCCUCCCCCUCUAAACCCACAGUCUGCCACAAGAACAUUUUAAACCUUCCUCCAUGAUGGGCAGCAAAACUCCCUGACUAGUCCUCCAGAUCCUUCUCAAGCACAGAAUAGAGAGAGCAUGAUGGUGAGUGAGCAUACUGUGCUUCCUGCAGGUCUUCAGUUCCACCACACUCUCCUAAGGGAAGGAAGAAGCCAGGCCUCAAUGCUGUACCUCUCUCUGGAGGCAGCAGGCACAAGUGGAAUG